GCCCCAAUAGUUCAAUUGGAUAGAACGACCCCGUCCUAAGGGGUAGAUCCAGGUUCAAUUCCUGGUAGGGGCACCA
rnacentral:tRNA from 1 species